AGGUAACCCAGUUUACAUGUAGCUGCUGGCGGCUACAUAGUGGCGCCCAACGUGGGGCGACCUGGCACGAGAGAAUUUCUUGAGGUAGCCCUAUCCAGCGAAGCUUCGUGGAAAAGGUGAAAAUUAAUGGUGUCCGCACGAAUGCUGCAGAAGAUAUGCUGACUGUGCUUGCUGAAUGCCCAGACCAUGGGAUUCCUGAAUUAAACAGGUGACCCACCCAGCUGCCGGAGCAGUCAAGACGAAGACCUCCAAGAUAAGCUAGACAACUUCCACCGGAACUCAGCCUGGAGUCUGGGGGGAGGGUUUGCCCAAACUGUUAAAAGGUCCAGCGCCAUUAAAGUUUACGGCUUCGAUCAGUGAACAUUGACUUAGCCGUACUUUCUUUUCGCCGCUCUUCCCUAUGACCCCAAAAUUCUCUCAACAGGUAACCCAGUUUACAUGUAGCUGCUGGCGGCUA